GUCAGAAAACCCCAUGCCUCAAGUCAGGGGCUAAAAAAGCCCUUAUCUGACCAGACUAAGUUCUUUACUAAACUACUUUAGAGGCAAGAGUUUAAGACCUACCAAGGAACGCAUAGCUAGUUUAUUGUUUUAGAACCAACCGAUUAAACAGGCUUAAAGGGUUAAUUUUGUUUACUAGUGACGUUGACCUGUAACAAUAUAUGCUACUCGUUGACCGAUAUUAGUUG
rnacentral:sRNA from 1 species